AGUGAACGCUGGCGGUAGGCCUAACACAUGCAAGUCGAACGGCAGCACAGUAAGAGCUUGCUCUUACGGGUGGCGAGUGGCGGACGGGUGAGGAAUACAUCGGAAUCUACUUUUUCGUGGGGGAUAACGUAGGGAAACUUACGCUAAUACCGCAUACGACCUACGGGUGAAAGCAGGGGAUCUUCGGACCUUGCGCGAUUGAAUGAGCCGAUGUCGGAUUAGCUAGUUGGCGGGGUAAAGGCCCACCAAGGCGACGAUCCGUAGCUGGUCUGAGAGGAUGAUCAGCCACACUGGAACUGAGACACGGUCCCGACUCCUACGGGAGGCAGCAGUGGGGAAUAUUGGACAAUGGGCGCAAGCCUGAUCCAGCCAUACCGCCUGGGUGAAGAAGGCCUUCGGGUUUUAAAGCCCUUUUGUUGGGAAAGAAAAGCAGCAGGUUAAUACCCCGCUGUUCUGACGGUACCCAAAGAAUAAGCACCGGCUAACUUCGUG
rnacentral:rRNA from 1 species